rnacentral:rRNA from 1 species
UACGGAGGGUGCGAGCGUUGUCCGGAAUCACUGGGCGUAAAGGGCGCGUAGGUGGCGCGGGUAGUCAUCGGUGAAAGCUCAGGGCUCAACCCUGAGUCGGCCGGUGAUACUCCCGUGCUUGAGUGUGGUAGAGGCCAAUGGAAUUCCGGGUGUAGAGGUGAAAUUCGUAGAUAUUGGGAAGAACACCGGUGGCGAAGGCGGCGACCUGGUCCUUGACUGACGCUGAGGCGCGAAAGCGUGGGGAGCAAACAGG